UGUCCUUGAUACUUUGAACUUUCCCUCAAUGUUGGCAAUACAUUAAGUAAAACAUCAGGCUUUCGUCGCAAAACCAUUGCUAGGACCACAAAGAUAGCAACCUGUGAUUUUGACGAUACAUUUUGCACACCCUUUUUAGCAGCUUUUGAACCAACUUGCUGGCUUGCUAAGUCUGCAAGAAUGCUAUCCAAAGACCACAAUACAAAGGAACCAAGUGCCUCAAUGGAACGUUGGUUAAUCCAGUCUACUGAUGUUUUAUAAACAGCGUCA
rnacentral:misc_RNA from 1 species